rnacentral:rRNA from 1 species
UACGUAGGGUGCAAGCGUUAAUCGGAAUUACUGGGCGUAAAGCGUGCGCAGGCGGCUUUGCAAGACAGAUGUGAAAUCCCCGGGCUCAACCCGGGAACUGCGUCCGAUACUGGCGGGCUUGAAUCCGGGAGAGGGAUGCGGAAUUCCAGAUGUAGCGGUGAAAUGCGUAGAUAUCUGGAGGAACACCGGUGGCGAAGGCGGCAUCCUGGACCGGUAUUGACGCUGAGGCGCGAAAGCUAGGGGAGCAAACGGG